rnacentral:tRNA from 1 species
UUAAUUGAAACCAAAUGAAGAGGUAUAUCACUGUUAAUGAUAAGAUUGAAUUAAAGUUCCAAUUAAG